rnacentral:rRNA from 1 species
GAUCAUGGCUCAGGAUGAACGCUAGCUACAGGCUUAACACAUGCAAGUCGAGGGGUAGCAUGGUCUUAGCUUGCUAAGGCCGAUGGCGACCGGCGCACGGGUGAGUAACGCGUAUCCAACCUGCCUUACACUCUUGGACAGCCUUCUGAAAGGGAGAUUAAUACAAGAUGUUAUCAUGGGUAAGCAUUUUCGCAUGAUUAAAGGUUUACCGGUGUAAGAUGGGGAUGCGUUCCAUUAG